rnacentral:rRNA from 1 species
UUGAACGCUGGCGGAAUGCUUUACACAUGCAAGUCGAGCGGCAGCGCGGGGGCAACCCUGGCGGCGAGCGGCGAACGGGUGAGUAAUGUAUCGGAACGUACCCUGUCGUGGGGGAUAACACAGCGAAAGCUGUGCUAAUACCGCAUACGACCUGAGGGUGAAAGCGGGGGAUCGCAAGACCUCGCGCGAUAGGAGCGGCCGAUAUCGGAUUAGCUUGUUGGUGAGGUAAAGGCUCACCAAGGCGACGAUCCGUAGCUGGUCUGAGAGGACGACCAGCCACACUGGAACUGAGACACGGUCCAGACUCCUACGGGAGGCAGCAGUGGGGAAUUUUGGACAAUGGGCGCAAGCCUGAUCCAGCCAUGCCGCGUGUGUGAAGAAGGCCUUCGGGUUGUAAAGCACUUUCGGCCGGGACGAAAUCGCUCGGGUUAACACCCAGGGUGGAUGACGGUACCGGAAGAAGAAGCACCGGCUAACUACGU